rnacentral:rRNA from 1 species
GGGUGCGAUCAUACCAGCAAUAAUGCCGGUCCUCAGACUCGAAGUUAGCUGCUUGGGCGAGAGCAGUACUAGGAUGGGUGACUCUGGGAGUCCUCGUGUUGCACCCU